rfam:Echinostoma caproni strain Egypt genome assembly, scaffold: ECPE_contig0000115
GGCUUCGUAGCUCAGCUAGUAGAGCAUGCGCGUACAAAGCGUAGGCGGUGUCCCUGCGCGGGUUCGAAUCCCACCGAGGCUA